rnacentral:rRNA from 1 species
CGAGGACGAACGCUGGCGGCGUGCUUAACACAUGCAAGUCGAACGAGGAUCAAGGAAGAGCUUGCUCCGAGAUGAUUCGAGUGGCGGACGGGUGAGUAACGCGUGAACAAUCUGUCUCAUACAGGGGGAUAACGCAUCGAAAGAUGUGCUAAUACCGCGUAGGACCACAGCAUCGCAUGGUGCAGGGGGUGAAAGGAGCAAUCCGGUAUGAGGUGAGUUCGCGUCUGAUUAGAUAGUUGGUGAGGUAACGGCCCACCAAGUCAACGAUCAGUAGCCGACCUGAGAGGGUGAUCGGCCACAUUGGGACUGAGACACGGCCCAGACUCCUACGGGAGGCAGCAGUGGGGAAUAUUGGGCAAUGGGCCGAAAGCCUGACCCAGCAACGCCGCGUGAAGGAAGAAGGUUUUCGGAUCGUAAACUUCUGUCCUUGGUGAAGAUAGUGACGGUAGCCAAGGAGGAAGCCCCGGCUAACUACGUGCCAGCAGCGGC